rnacentral:misc_RNA from 1 species
CGGGUUGUGUGGGUUGGCGGGCUCCGUGCUUCGGCAUCGAACCGUCCGCGCACGCUCCAUGUCAGUGAUGCAUCAAGAAUUUCUUGUGCCCCGAACGGAUUCCUGUAUUUGUUGCCUAUCGUAAAGGAAUGGUUCCUCUCGUUGACCCUUUCCUUCCCCGACCCAUGCGGCCUGGGGAAGGACAUCAUAGCAACGCUUGUGCCCCUAGUACUGAACGUGCCUCAUGGCGCGCACAUUGCGAAGGUUCCCAAGUUGCAUGCUUGAUAUCUCGGAUACGGAAAAUGCGGUGGACUCGGGGUCUUUGCACCCUUGCACGUCCAAUUUAAAGCGAAAUGUACGACUGCCAAGCUCGUUGCGGGGUUUCCCGCGCGCUGCUUGGCGUCGACAAAGGAUGCUACCUGGUU